GGUAUGUACUAGCUUGCUGAUUCCUCCUUCUUGUAGAACCGUAAUGCCAUUAAUUUGGUGUUGCGGGGAAACAGGACUGUUACUUUGAAAAAAUUAGAGUGUUUAAAGCAGGCUAGCGCCUGAAUACAUUAGCAUGGAAUAAUGAAAUAGGACGUUCGAACCUAUUUUGUUGGUUUCUAGGAUUGACGUAAUGAUUAAUAGGGAUAGUUGGGGGCAUUAGUAUUCAAUUGUCAGAGGUGAAAUUCUUGGAUUUAUUGAAGACUGACUACUGCGAAAACAUUUGCCAAGGAUGUUUUCAUUAAUCAAGAACGAAAGUUAGGGGAUCGAAGACGAUCAGAUACCGUCGUAGUCUUAACCAUAAACUAUGCCGACUAGGGAUCGGAUGAUGUUAAUUUUUUAAUGACUCAUUCGGCGCCUUACG
rnacentral:rRNA from 1 species